UGGGUUAUGGUAUAAAUAGAGAACAUCAGUAUCGCCGAUUCAUAUGACCCAAAACAGUAGCUAAGACAUCAACUAAUCAAGUACGCAAAAAAAAGAAACUGAAGUUAAAUUUGUCGACUAUCGUCUACCUAUAAUUUACAUACGACGUUUUGAUUCCGUGAAAGAAGAUACAACCGUCAAACAGAAGAAUCGAAAACACUGUCGUUCAGUAAUAAAUUUAAAGAUUGUUUAUCUUGAGAUAUUCUGAGAAACUUGUAAACGGAUUUCCUAUACAAAGUAGGUUCCUUAUCCUCUGAAAAAUAUUACAUAUUCAAAAUGUUAUUUGUAAAAACAGCAGCAACUUUGCUUCUUUUGUGCGCUUGUGCAUCAUGCAGUAUUGUUAUCGACAUGAGAGAAACAGAUAGCGCAGGACUCGAGAUGUCAGGCCCAAGUGCUUCGGGAAUAGGUCAUCGUUAAAUCCAUUUCAGAAAAAGAAGAAUGAUUCCGAAAUAACACACAAGUUAUUUUCGCUGACUAUAAAAAGUUUUUGGUUUAUUGUUAUAAUAUGUAAAAACUAAAUAAAUCUUUCCCUAAAAUAUGAUGUAAAUCCGUUUUUCCAGAUUUAUUAGAUUCUACACCCAUAUUUUAUUUUGAUUUAUUUUGAUUUCAUUAAUUUAUAAAUUAUGACAUAUUUUAGGUAUACUCUGUUUCAGACAUUCCUGUCAUUAUUCUUUUAAACCUUUUCUUUCGAAGUACAAAACAGAGUUUUCUCCAAAUGUUGUCUCUUUUCUUUUGCAAUAUAAAAUAUACAUAUUUAUUGAAUUAAAACUGCGUAGCGGCACCUACGCGAUAUGCAUAUAAGUGCAUAGGUUUUUUAUUUACAGACCAUCGAAUUUUGUUCUAAAUUUGUCGAAAAACUAACUACAUAAAUUUUGUUUCAUUUUUAAAAGAUGCUUAAAAUACAGUUUUGGGAUCUUAAAAUCACCGAAAACGAUUCAAAUUUUAAAUAAAGGUUAAGUACAUUAAAACACCCUUAAAACGGUUAAAAAUACCAUUUAUAGCGGUUAAAAUAUCAUAUUGAGGGCUGAUUCACAAAAUACAUGUGACGUUCGGGGCCAGAGGAGGGCAGGGUAUGUCAAAGUAUCAUUUUCUAUGUUAAAAACAAUAGAAAAUACGUCACGUAGGGGCAGGGGUAUUUAAAGUCCCUGAAAAAUUUAUCUCAUAUUUCAUGAAUAUCCUCUGUACAUUUUGAUGAUUUUAUACGACACAAUUUCGUAUUAUACAAUUAUAUCUAUACCAAAUUAAACAUAAAGAGAUUAGUGAUAAAAAAGUAAAGAAUAAGUGAAAUCUUUUUCAAACACUUCUUUCCUGGUUGAUUAAAAAGUCACUAAUUCAUUAUUUCAGUUAAAAGUACCAGAAAAACAUAAUUCUGGCAUUUGUGUUACCUAAUUUGCUCUAUUUAGUAACAUUUCCUUAAAACCAGAUAGAAUUUUGAUAUUGACUGUCGAUGAAUAGAAAUUUUCAUUAUAUAUUAAUUUAAUUUAUUUCUUGAAUUGUCAUAAACAAAUUGAUGUAUUAAACUCAAAUCAGCUGCAUUUUUCUGUGUUUUAACUCAAAACCAACUAGCGGAAUUGGAAAUUUCCCGGAAAAUUGGAAAAGCUCUGACCGUAUCCCGUAAUCUCUACUUAGGAACUGAUUUUUACUUAGAAGAUUCCGUACCUCAGAGAAAUAUAAUUCUUAGUUUCAGAAUAAAAUUAUAUUUUUUAAAUCUGGAACAAGGAAACAAGUAAAUAUAACUUGUUUGCUGAUUAAGGCCAUCUAACGAGAGGGUCACUUGACCAAAACUAGUCCUCAAUUUUUUUUUCCCCAACUUACGUCCACACGGAAUGAGAUAUCGUGUUGAAAGUUUGGCACGCGAAAUAGAAUGCACGAAGGAAGGUGUCGCUGGUCCUUAAUAAUUAGAAUUGUAAAAAAUUCGAUUUUUUAAUCACUAAUUUGGAGAAAUACUGACCGUGCUGUAGAACAGCAUUAUCGUAGCGAGUAGACAACUUCGAACUUCUAUGGUUCUGUGGGUAAUACAGAUUUCAUGAUUAUCGACAGAGAAAGAUAAGUCACACUUUUGCGUAAAGCCUAAAUGCGUCAGUCGAUAUUUCUUAUUUUCAUAAAUAAACUUUUUUCUUCGCCCAACUAUGUGGCUUAACGAAAGGCGUUCCUUACAUAUUUAUUAAUAUUUUCCGAAAUUGUUGUCUGCGUUACUUAAACUUUUAUUUUUAGAUAUGGUUGAACAAAUAUUGAUCUCAGGCCUGACUUGAUCAGCUGGUCCACUCGUUCCGUGGCUCUAAUCAUAAAAAAAGUUUACCCGCGUGGAUUGGAAAUUUCUACCUUAUAAAUGAAGGUCGUAAACAAAUUAUACUUUUGCAAAUUCCGUCUUGAAGGAGAUAAUAAUAAUGUACUAAUAUUAAAAAAGUUACAAAUUUCUUAAGUCAAUGGUACCCCCCCCCCCUCUCGUAUUAAUGAUCUUGAUAUAUGUUGUAGGGGACCGAAAAAUAAGCGACCCAUAUUUUUUCUUAUCGGCCAAUAAACGGUUUAAGGGGGGGAAACUACCCUAAAAAUAUGUUAGUGUCAAGAGGUGGUUUGAUUGGUUCCCAUAGAAGAAAAUAAUAAUUUUGAACAAAACUAAUUGGAAAAGUUUCGGCAUAAUGAGAGAUAAGAAACUCUAUUUCCCUGACUUGAUUAACAAAAUUAGGGGGUGAACCACUUCCUACAUACGACGAAAAUGCAUAUGAAGUCUACAUACCCAAAAUAUUUAAGAUUAUUAUAGCUUUUGAUAUAAAAUGUUUUAACAACACUGAAAAUGAAGGUAAAUGCACUAAACGUCAUGAAUCUUCUACUUGCGACAUUUUAGUCACUAAAAAUAGAAGAUUGUCAUAUAAAUUAUAAGAAAAUUGAAUCAAAAGGACAUACUAAAAGCAUUUUGUUUUAUAUUAUAUUUUUAUUAUAUUAUACAUAUUAAAAGAAUUUUGUUAGUCGCCAAUUGCACCUACAGAUAAGUGUACGGAAGACAGAGAAGAAGUAUCUGACGAUUAUAAAUUAAGAGCCGCAGAAUUCUGGAGAAGUGGCAAAAAGAAAAAUUUCAAUAUUGAUAUUGUAAGAAAGAAUUUUGAGAGGGUACUGUCUGCAAAACAAUUGCGACGUAGGACCCACUCAUUGAAUAAAGGAGGUACCUAUAGGGAAAAGAUUGCUAGAAUUUGUGACUUUACACUGGAAAAUUUUUAAUUAGCACUUGACGCCGGCUUCGCUGUUCAUGACAGAGAUUUACGGAGAUGGGCCCUGCAAGCCCAAAAGAAAAUAGGACAUGAAGAUUUCAGAUUAAGCGCUUCAAACCACUGGUUAACUCAUUUUAAGCGUGCACACAGAAUAGUCGAGAGAGAUUAAUAAAUUUGUCACUUGAAAAUCUUUAGAAAACAAUGAAGAGUUGAGAAAGAAGGCCUAAGAAUUUGUUACUGGUGUUAGACAACAGAUAAGAAAACUUGGAUUAAAAAAUGUUUAUAAUUGUGAUUAAAGUGGCUUUCAGCUGGAAAUGCAUUCAAAAAGAACUUUGGCUGUUGGAGGAAAGAGAAAAGUGCAAUGCCUCAUUCGGUCAGUGUCAGCAACAACACAUAAUUAUACAAUACAACCGCUAAUAUCAAGUGAAGGGAAAGUUUUUUCACCGUUGUUUCUAGUCUUGAAAGAAAAAAUUGGAAAUUUUGGACCAGUAGUAGAGACCAAUCUGUUUAGAGCUGAAAAUAUUCAUAUAGAAGCAUCAAACUCUGGGAAACUUACUUCAGAUCACUUCAAAAUUUGGUUAGAGAAAAUAUAUGUUUCAAACAUGGGACCACAUAGCGUUCUAUUAAUUCACGCAUGGAGUGGUCAUUGCCCUAGAAUAAUAGUAGAAACUGCACCCGAGAACAAAUAUGUCAAUGUACAAAGAAUACCAGCAGGAACGGCAAGAAAAAUGCAACCACAGGGUCAACCUAUUAUCUUCACCGAGUUACGUCAAUUUGUUCAAACAUUCUUGGUACAAAAUUGGGUACAUUGAUGACAAACCAGAACAUUUCGAAAAUCAUCAUGUGUGCAACACGUUGUGAAAUUCAAGGAUGCACACAUUUGGCUGUCAUUCGAUGUUCAUGGUGUAGAAAAUCGUUAUGUUUGAAACACUUUUUCGAUGAUUAUUGUUAUGGCACGACAAACAUAUAGAUACACAAAAAUGUUUGAAUUAACUAUUCUGUACUAUUAUGAGAAAUUAACAUUCUGUUAAUUUACAUGGUGGAAAAAUAAAUCGACAAAGUUCCGAUGACUUGAAA